GAGGACUAAGUGCAGUGGUGCACGCCCCCAAGCCAUUGGACGCCGCCGAGGGUACUGCGAAGGCCUCAGUUCGAUUCUGAGAGUCCUCA